rnacentral:tRNA from 1 species
UCCCUGGUGGCUCAGACAGUAAAGCAUCUGCCUACAAUGCGGGAAGACCAGGGUUCAAUCCCUGGCUCGGGAA